rnacentral:rRNA from 1 species
CUAAAUAAUUAAUAGUGAAAAGUACCGUGAGGGACCGUUAGCGUUCUUGGGCGUAUUCUAAUUUAAUAGCUUAUAAACAACUUUUUAUAAAAAGGUUUACCUUUUGCAUUAUGGUUCGGUCAGUUAAAUUGUAUAGCAAGCUUAAAAAUUAAAUAUUUAAAAAGCGAAAAUAAUUAAAUUUAGAAGUUAUAAAAUUUAAACACGAAACCAACGUGAUCUAUUCAGAUUCAGAUCGAAUAUUUAGUAACAAUAAAUUAGAGGAUCUAACCGGUGUUUGUUGCAAAAAACUCGGGUGAAAUUUGAAUUGGAGUGAAAGGCUAAUCAAACUUGGCGAUAGCUUGUUUUCUGCGAAAUUCUUCUUAGAGAAGCGCUUAAAAUCAAAAUUUUAGGGUAAAGCACUGGUAGAAUUGAGGUUGUUUAUUUAGCAUUACAAAAUUCGUCCAAACUCUGAAUAUAAAAUUAUGUUUUAAGUAGUUAGAUUAUAGGCUAGAAAGUUUAUAAUCAAAAGAGAAACAACUCUAAUUGGUUUUUAAGGCUUUAAAAUAAACUUUAA